UCCGAGUUGACCCCGGCAGUCUCCUACGAGUCCCCGGCAUAACCCGCUGGCAACAUAGGACAAGGGUUGCGCUCGUUGCGGGACUUAACCCAACAUCUCACGACACGAGCUGACGACAACCAUGCACCACCUGUGCACGGCCCUUACGGACCCCCCAUCUCUGGGAGAUUUCCGUGCAUGUCAAGCCUAGGUAAGGUUCUUCGCGUUGCAUCGAAUUAAGCAACAUGCUCCGCCGCUUGUGCGGGCCCCCGUCAAUUCCUUUGAGUUUCAGCCUUGCGGCCGUACUCCCCAGGCGGGGCACUUAGCGCGUUAGCUGCGGCACGGAGAGGGCCGAUCCCCCCCGCGCCUAGUGCCCAACGUUUACGGCGUGGACUAC
rnacentral:misc_RNA from 1 species